UUACUCCCCCUUUUUGUCAAAAAUGUUGCCAAAGCCAGCAACAUAGCCAGAGCACACUGACAGAGUUCCAGACUUGGUUUUACUUCACAGUUUCAACCAAGUUCACAUCCACUUGAUCUUGCUUCACAGCUUCGAUCAAGUAAUCACCCACUUUUGCUUUACAGUAGGUACAGCCAUAUCAGAUUCCAAGACUUUGAGUCUGAC
rnacentral:lncRNA from 1 species